UACGAAGGGGGCAAGCGUUGUUCGGAAUUACUGGGCGUAAAGGGCGCGUAGGCGGCUUAUCAAGUCAGGCGUGAAAUUCCCGGGCUCAACCUGGGGGCUGCGCUUGAUACUGAUUGGCUUGAAUGCGGGAGAGGAUAGUGGAAUUCCCAGUGUAGAGGUGAAAUUCGUAGAUAUUGGGAAGAACACCGGUGGCGAAGGCGGCUUCUUGGCCUGUUCUUGACGCUGAGGCGCGAAAGCUGGGGGAGCAAACGGG
rnacentral:rRNA from 1 species